rnacentral:rRNA from 1 species
GCAGGCUGAAACCCGACCUGUAUGAAGUCGGAAUUGCUAGUAAUCGCGGAUCAGCAUGCCGCGGUGAAUACGUUCCCGGGCCUUGUACACACCGCCCGUCACACCAUGAGAGCCGGUAACACCCGAAGUCAGUAGCCUAACCGCAAGGGGGGCGCUGCCGAAGGUGGGAUUGGUGAUUAGGGUGAAGUCGUAACAAGGUAAC